UCCCUGAUGGCUUAGACAGUAAAGCGUCUGCCUACAACGCAGGAGACCCAGGUUCAAUCCCUGGGUAGGGAA
rnacentral:tRNA from 1 species